rnacentral:tRNA from 1 species
GAGAGAUGCGUGGCGCAUAUGGUCAACGGACUUUUAAUCCGUAGGUCCAGGGUUCGAGCCCCUGCACCCUCA